rnacentral:lncRNA from 1 species
GACAACCUUCGUCGACGGGAAGCACGCUUGAAGGAGGGCGAGCAGCACGUUGAAGGCCGCGAGGGUGUCCACGACUGUGAAAAGGGGAGGAUGCCGCUAAGCCAGCUUCUCGUGCGCUGGGCCUGAGGUGAAGCCGCAGAAUGACAGCGCCAGGUGCAGAAACCACGUGACAUCCUCUGCGCAGGUUGUGCGAAAUACGUUGGGCAUCGACUGUUCAGCUGCAUCGAAAGUGUCCCCGGUACUCACCCUUGCUGAACCAUCUCUGCUCUUCCCGCAGCGCCUGGAGCUCGGCGCGUAUUUCGGCCCUGAGUGCUGCCAGCUCCUCCUGGAACUGCUGCGGCUGCUGCGGCUGCUGCGGUACCGCGUCCAUUUCAGCAGUCGGAAUUAAGCAAAGUCUUUCGAGGAGUUAGUGCGUUUCCGGUUUGGUCAGCCGCAGACACUUGAUCCCACAAUUCCAGCGACUUUUGCGACCGGCUCUCCACCGACCGCUUGGAUGCUUGCGCCCGGUCGCUGCCCCAGCUACUUCCGCGGUGAAAUAACAACGGUGAGCACUCUCAACCACUGCGAGGACAGCCCUAGCAACCGCACUGCGUAAGAAGUACAGCAUCGAUUUGCUGCAUGUUGAUUUUGGCGCAAAUGGGGGGUGCAAGCAGUUUGUUUCUCUCAGACGCGAGCUAGCGCCCAAGCGCGCGAUAUGGGGGCGAGGAGCCACUAUGUAGCUGUAACGAUUGCAUGAGUGGCGAAUUUUACUUCGAGGGUCUAGGGUGCGAGCGGAGUGGGAUUACCCCCCGAGGGGCACGCCAUGCGCUCAGGCCCCAUGCAACAGAAAUUCGCCGGGCACCAACCCACGCACAGAUAAUUCAUAGGACUACACCAUAGCCAUCAGAGACCGGCCGGGAACAAGCCCCGCAAGCGGGGCAGCAUGGGCGCGACACCACCCUGCCGCGCCAACUCACCCCAAACACGCCCCAACCACUUGUGCGACACAAGGGCUACCAUACAGUAGCGCGCGACACCUAAUCGCGUGCGCCGGAGUGUGCGAGCAAACAUUGUACGGAGGAGCUCGUUUGGGCCCUAGGACGCAGGGCCUGGGCUGGCAUUUGGUGCAUUCAAUAGAGCAUAGAAAACCGAGGCCACAUAUGUGCUCGGGUGCGCAAAGGUCGGCGGAAUUGUGGGAUCAAGUGACGUGGAAAUGGAUCUGGGGGACUGCGGGGUUUUGGGGUGUGUUGGGUUGGUGGCGUGAAGGGUGUGAUUUGUGAGGAAUUUAUCGAUGCAUGCCAAGUUGCACGCCUUUCCCCUGUGUUUCCUACAUGCCCCUGAACCCUCCCUUUGCUGGCUGCAGGCGAAGCGACAAGUGGUACCGCUGGUACCACCCACGGGGGCCUUGUGCCCAAGCCG